CCAGAUCUCCUAGCCCCCACACUUCCACACUAUGUGUGGGUUAAAAUUGAGAAGGUAUCAUGAGAUGGGCUGUUGGUGUGAUUCUUCACAGUUAAUACAGAUCUCCUGAGGGAAGGAAGAAAUCAUUUUUGUUUGCUACUCUUUACGUCCACCUGGGCUUCUGCACAGGACGGUGUUCAUUGCAUCCUGCACACACUGAACCGCCAAUGAAUGACCCAGCGCGUGACUGAUGAGGAAAUCAAGGGGCUGUGUGCUGUCCAGCAGGCUUCCUUAGACAAAGUUAUCCACAAGAAAUCUGGUUGCAAAGCCUUAACCUGAAAUGCCUAGAAGCAUCCAAGAUAUGAACAAUGCUACAAUGGUCAUUUCAAGCUGCUGAAGGUCAUGCCAAGGAAGGGAUGUAUGCUACUUUGCCAGCUUCUUCCUUACCCUGGUGGUCUUCAAUGUCCUGAAAGUUGUCCCCUAGAGAAUGGGAGGCUGAUGGAUCCAGAGCACAAACCUAGAAGGCAUCUCAUGAACAUUUCACGUAUUUUCCUUACUUAAGAUUUUCAGUCUUACUGCAGUUAAUGCUAACUUCAUUUUUAGAAGUUGGAUAUGAGCUGUGUGGAUUGCUUUGGUUGGUUUGUUUAAUACAACUUCCAGUUAAUACUAAGUGAGCAUCUUUUCAUACUAUUGCACAGUGUUGUUUAGGUUUUAAAGUGUACUUGAGGUAAUGUUAGGACUUGAUGUAAUGAUGGGAGUGGUAUUCUACUCAACUCAUUUACAAACAGGGAUCAAAGGCUAAGAAGACUUUCAUGGAAGAAGGUAGGCAAUGAUUAAAACAGAGCACACAUACUAAAAGUAAAAAUAGUUAUAUAAAUCAAAAUAGCAAAUGAGAAUAUAUAUUAUGUAUAUCAAAGUAAUUCUAUAAAUCCAAAUGACAAAUGAAAC